rnacentral:rRNA from 1 species
AUUGAACGCUGGCGGCAGGCCUAACACAUGCAAGUCGAACGGCAGCACAGAAGAGCUUGCUCUUUGGGUGGCGAGUGGCGGACGGGUGAGUAAUGUCUGGGAAACUGCCCGAUGGAGGGGGAUAACUACUGGAAACGGUAGCUAAUACCGCAUAACGUCGCAAGACCAAAGUGGGGGACCUUCGGGCCUCACACCAUCGGAUGUGCCCAGAUGGGACUAGCUAGUAGGUGGGGUAAUGGCUCACCUAGGCGACGAUCCCUAGCUGGUCUGAGAGGAUGACCAGCCACACUGGAACUGAGACACGGUCCAGACUCCUACGGGAGGCAGCAGUGGGGAAUAUUGCACAAUGGGCGCAAGCCUGAUGCAGCCAUGCCGCGUGUAUGAAGAAGGCCUUCGGGUUGUAAAGUACUUUCAGCGGGGAGGAAGGCGGUGAGGUUAAUAACCUUGCCGAUUGACGUUACCCGCAGAAGAAGCACCGGCUAACUCCGUGCCAGCCGCCGCAGUAA